GGAUCAUCUCCUUCUGGACCACCGUUGACUAUGGGUAUCUGAAACCAUGGAAAGCAAAACCUACUGGAUAAGGCUUAUUCCCUGACCUCAAGAUGUUUACAGAGCUUGAGAGAGGGAAUCUGGCAGCCCAUGAAUCAAGAUAAACCAUUUUGAACUAAAUGUGAUUGCAUUUCAGAGAAAGGAGAGGGCGUGGUAGCCCAGGUGAACCAUGUAUACAGAGCCACCAUCUUCACCUUUCACUCACCCAAUUCUUCAGACCAAAAUUUGACCUUCUCAAUGGGCUUUCAGGUGACAUCAGCCCUGACAAAGCACCUAACUUCAAGCCUAAAGAAUUGCUUCUUCCCUUUGACUAAGGAGCUGCUUUCUCUCUGAGGCAUGAAUAUCGAUGGCUCAAGAUACCUUACCAGGCUCAGGUCAUGAUCUCCGGGUUGUGAGAUUGAGCCCUAUGUCCAGCUCCACGCUCAGCAC